rnacentral:rRNA from 1 species
UACUGGGUGUGAAUUGCAGAAUCCCGUGAACCAUCGAGUCUUUGAACGCAAGUUGCGCCCGAAGCCGUUAGGCCGAGGGCACGCCUGCCUGGGCGU